GAAAAGGAUUAGCAAAACCCUAACUAGAUAAUUAUGUAUAAUUGAGGAAAUUAUAUUAUUAUAUAAUUUAAUAUAUGUGAUUUUAUAUGAAUUUAACAUGUUAAAGACCCCGUUGGUGAGCCAGGGGCAUUUUGGUAAUUAUGACCCGAGAAGAGUAAAAUGAUGAAAUUAAUUUAAUUAUGUGCUUAAUAGAACUAUAUUAUUAUAUAGUAUGCCUGUGUUGUCUUUUCAGGUGUGUUCUGACAGGUUGGCGCGGUAUAGUCACAACCGGGUAUUUUGGGCCGAACCGGGUUCGGGCCCGAAAUGCAAAUUAGAUUGAAUUAAUUGGCAUUUUAUUUGAUAAUGAGAAAUCUGAAAUUUAAUUGGGUUUGAAUUGGUGUGUAAAUGUCAUUUUGCCCUUGCAUGCCUAAGUGAAUGUUAUUUGGCCCUAGGGGGCAAAAUGGUCUUUUUAGACCCUUAAUUUAUGUUUAAUAAAAGAAUGAUUUUAAGGAAAAGAGAAUUAUUUUUCUAGUUUUCCUUCAGCCCUAAAACCGUACCCCUCCUCUCCUCUUCACUUAUUUCUUAAAUGUUUAGAUUUUUGUAGAUUGUUCUUGAAUUGAAGGUUUUGUAAAGUUGAAUUUCUUGUGGAUAGAAGCUUGAAGUUGUGGAUUACCGGCACCUGGUCAGGAGCACCCGGGGAUUUGGAAUCUCUACUAUUGCGGGACAAUAGGAAAGGGUAAGGCAUUAGCUGAUCUGCCAUGAGUUUUCAGGAGCAGGACGAAGAAUGUACAUGUUCACGCCACUUCAGACCAAGCGGGUUAUGGGUCUAACAGUGUUGACUUUUGUAUUCUGUUUUGCCGCUUAGGCCGGCUAGUAAGAAAGAACUUGUAAUAAUUUUGUAAAUAUUUUUGGGAUCCCAACUAUGUUUGAAAAGUUUAAAUAUAUUACAAGUUUAUUUUCA